UGUUCCAUAAAAGCCGCUUAGAAAAGCGGGGAUUAAAGUCCAAAACCUGACUUGAAUGAGCCGAGCUAAACAUUCCCGCUUAAAUUGGUUCCAUAACAGUAAGUUGAGGAUCAUUUGAUCUUACUCAUUUGAGUCAGGUUUAAAUAGUCUAGAUAAUUGCGCAUGCACGCCAUUGUUUAAAAGUCCUGAAAAGUCGAGCAUGGGUAAAUCGAUUUACUGUGGGCUACCAUGGCAACAAAAGGAAAAGAAAGAGCAGCGAUGUUCACGGCAACGGAACAGCGUUUGCUAUUGGAAACAUAUGAAGAAUUUAAUGAUGUCAUCACCAAAAAAGGCAAUACAGCGGCAAUAAUAAAGCAAGAGAGAAAGGUUGGCAGGAAAUUGCUGAUCGUCUCAAUGCCAGCAACUUAAGUGAAGGAAAAAGAACCUGGCAGCAGCUGAAAAUAAAAUACAAAAAUAUAGUUCAAAAUGCGACCAAAAAGAAGACUGGGGUUGCUGGCACUGGAGGAGGGCCACCACCAGCCAGCUUCACUCCUGCAGAGGAGCUGGCUUUGGAAAUUAAUAAAGAGAGGCCCGUCCUUGAGGGAAUAAAGGGGGGGGCAUCAUCUAAAAUGAUAUCACGUAGUAUAAUGAGUAAGUAUAUAAAAGGUGUGUGUGUGUUUUAUUAUCAUUAUUCCUUCCUGACUAACUGAUUUCCUCCUUCCUUAGGCAUUGUAAGCCUAAGUACAUCAUAGCAGUAAUGUCACGUAGAGGUACUUGUGCUACUGUAAUGGUGCAUUUUGGUAAAAAAAAAAAAAACAAUUCUAUCAAGAUUCUGUAUGCUUUAUGGAUCCACCAGACAUCAUGUUGCCUGUGAGUAUGAGACCUUUUAAAUCAGUCAUGUAAGCUAAUGAGUUUAACUGAGUUUAAUAAGUGGUCACAGGGAGAAGGCCCAUCAGUUGAGGAGGAUGAGGAGGCCUGAGGUAGUCACAGGUUCCAUGUGAUAUUGUAUUGAAUAUUAAAAAGUGUACUUGUGUUAUAAAAUGAUCAUAAUGUGUUUUCAGGAUGCUGACACUGUUCUAGAGCCCUCUCAGUCUGGGACCACAUGUGACAAAGUGAGUAUUAAGAAAUUAAAACAAUGUGACGAGUAUUCAAUGAAAUAACUUAAAUCUAUGUUGCUACAGAACCCAGAAAACAUAAAAGGAGUGAAUAAACAC